AGCUUUGCGCAGUGGCGGUACCAUAGUCAAUGAGGUCUUACCGAGACGUGGUUAUUGCUAGUUGAAAACUAAUCCCAAUACCCCGCACAGACGACUCUAACCAGUCGGCUGGUGCAAUUUUUUACGGCCUUGUAUAGAGG
rfam:Biomphalaria glabrata isolate BB02 unplaced genomic scaffold LGTN_random_Scaffold1, whole genome shotgun sequence.